rnacentral:rRNA from 1 species
GCAACUCGCCUGCAUGAAGUUGGAAUUGCUAGUAAUCGCGAAUCAGAAUGUCGCGGUGAAUACGUUCCCGGGCCUUGUACACACCGCCCGUCACACCAUGAGAGUCGAUAACACCCGAAGCCUGUGAGCUAACCGUAAGGAGGCAGCAGUCGAAGGUGGGGUUGGUGAUUGGGGUGAAGUCGUAACAAGGUAAC